AACAGAAUUACCAUUUGACCCAGCAAUCUCAAUACUGGGUAUAUACACCCAAAUGAAUAUAAAUAAUUCUAUAAAGACGCAUACAUUUGUGUGUUCAUUUCAGCCCUAUUCACAGUAGCAAAGACAUGGAAUCAACCUACAUGUCCAUUAACAGUGGACUGGAUAAAGCAAAUGUGAUACAUAUAUACCAUGGAAUAUUAGGCAGCCAUAAAA